rnacentral:lncRNA from 1 species
CUCAGAACCCGCUGCUCACCCGGGGCAACAAUCCUGGAUUCUGGAUCCAGUGUCAUAGGCACCCAGCCACAGAGCCCCUGCACUGCCUCCGCACACUAGGCCAGGACACCAAGCUGGCCAGCAGGCCUGCCUUCCUUCAGCCAGCUGCCUGAGACUGUCCCCUACCCCCUCAACAGCAUCUACCCCAUGACCAACAAGAAAGACUGCAAGAAGACUCAACCUCUGGUCCUCGAACCUACAUGUCUACUGACCCAAGGGAGGGGGGGAAUGAGAGAUGUUGCAUGUGCCAGCCCUUCAAGAAUCAAGGGAAUUGCAGCUGCCCCGUGCCCACUGCCCCCACUGGGGGCAUUUUCGUGCCAGAUCCCUUGGGACUGGAACUGUGCCGCGUCAUGGCUAGGCGCUUGAGCACCUGUCUCUCUGCCUUGCUCCGUAGCAGCUGCCGUGCUGAACACCGCUCUCCCGACACCUGUACAAGCUGCCCCACCAAUCCAGGCCUCCUCGCCCGCCCAGCCCCGGCCACCAGCUCAGCCCCAGCCACUGUUCCAGACCCAGCCGCUGCUACAGACCACGCCUGCCAUCCUCCCACAACCCACCGCUGCCACCGUUGCUGCCCCCACACCCAAGACAGUGGACGCCACCCCGCAGAUCACUGUCCAGCCUGCAGGCUUCGCAUUUAGCCCAGGGAUCAUCAGUGCAGCCUCCCUCGGGGGACAGACGCAGAUCCUGGGCUCCCUCACUACAGCUCCAGUUAU